GAGAGAGAUCCCAGGAGGACAAAAGAGGUUGCUGCCUACUGGUGGUUGGGAUGCCAUUCACAUGUCCCAGCAAAGCUUCUCAAAGAUGUCAGUAUUAAUUGUCACCAUCCUCCAGGGAGAAAGCAACAGCCCACAAUUGCCUGCAUUUUCUUUCCUCUUCAAAACCACUUCUGCUCCAAAGACCAUGAACCUGAACUGAAGAAACGACUCCUUCCUGCUGGCGUGAGAUAAUUCAGUCUCCAUGAUGUCUUAAUCCUGGGCCUCCCUUAAUUGACUUCUAACUGUGCUGAACUGUGGCUGCUAGGAGUUGCAAUGUGGAUCGCAAUUUACAAGGCACUGGAAUCGUUUCUUGUCCUCAAAUUAGUCCUGAGCUGUACUGGAGAAAGAAAAAAAAGGGGU
rnacentral:lncRNA from 1 species